GACGUCUACGAGGUUUGAUCAUGGCUCAGAACGAACGCUGGCGGCAGGCCUAACACAUGCAAGUCGAGCGAACCCUUCGGGGUUAGCGGCGGACGGGUGAGUAACGCGUGGGAACGUGCCCUUUGCUACGGAAUAGCCCCGGGAAACUGGGAGUAAUACCGUAUGUGCCCUUCGGGGGAAAGAUUUAUCGGCAAAGGAUCGGCCCGCGUUGGAUUAGGUAGUUGGUGGGGUAAUGGCCUACCAAGCCGACGAUCCAUAGCUGGUUUGAGAGGAUGAUCAGCCACACUGGGACUGAGACACGGCCCAGACUCCUACGGGAGGCAGCAGUGGGGAAUCUUAGACAAUGGGCGCAAGCCUGAUCUAGCCAUGCCGCGUGAUCGAUGAAGGCCUUAGGGUUGUAAAGAUCUUUCAGUGGGGAAGAUAAUGACUGUACCCACAGAAGAAGCCCCGGCUAACUCCGUG
rnacentral:rRNA from 1 species